rnacentral:rRNA from 1 species
CCGACCGGCGUGGAGGAUUGAAAUAUCUUGGUAUGUAAACUCCUUUCGAUGGGGAAGGAUUAUGACGGUACCCAUAGAAGAAGCCCCGGCUAACUUCGUGC